GACCUAUCACCAUAAAGUUGACCCUCUGAAUCAUGAAUUCUUUGACUUACCAAUCCACAAAACAAAAAGGAAAAAUAAAUUCAGUGGACAGAGUGCUGGAAUUAGAGCCAAAAGACCUGUGUUAAAAUUUAGCUUCAAAUUCUAACUUCCUUGGUGUUCUCAUCUGUAAAGUGUGACUAAUAAAAUAUCAGUAUCUAAGGGAUGUUGUCAGGAUAAAAUAAGAUAACAUUUGGAAAGCAUUUUGCAAAUUUAAGACAUUAUGUUAAUGCUGUUAGUAUUUUUACUAUUGCCAUGCAUUACCAAAUUUUGCUGUCCUCAUUUUUGCAUCAUUGGCAUAGAUCUUUCUUUGUUUCUUUGCAUCCUUUAUAAUUGUCAUUUCUAUGACAUAACAGUAUCCCAUUCUAGAUCUUCUAGUGCAUAGGAACAACUCAGCUGGCCUGUGUGGGUCCAUUCUAAGUACUGUUAACAAUCCCAACAACUAUAAAAAUUGGAGAAAAGGCAUUGUGGAUCCAUUGCUCUCAUGUGAAAAGAGUACCUUCCAUCAGAAAUGAUUGACUGCAUGGAUCAAGGAUAAGACUACAGAGACAAAUAGACAUUAUUUUCAAUAACAUUGAACUCCUGAACUUAUAUAUAUAUAUAUUUUGCAAUAAAAGGUUUAAUUUCAAAACAGAAUUAGUAAUAGCCAAUAGAUUUCAGUACCCGACUUCUGGUCAAGAUGGCGGCUUAGAGAAAGCUAAAGUUCAGAUCUCCGGAAAACCCUUCCCGACCGAUCUCAAACUAUAAGCUCCUAAGGCGACGAAAUUCAAAACGAUCAACAGCAUAGACCCUGGGAAUCCUCCUGGACCUGGACCUGGAUCAAAAGGUACGGCCCCCCUCAAAAGCCAGAACCCGAGAUCACUUGGACCUAAGGGGUAGGAGCGCAGAGUCCAAGGCUCCGGGAAGCUGCAGCCCCACCCCCCUCAGAGAGCAGGGUCGUCUGAAACAACAGCAACCCUUAGGGCAGGCAAGACAGCCUCACCAGCUGGAUCCUGCUAUCCAAGUCUCAGUGAAAGUCACUGCCCUCGGAGCUCCGGGAAGCCGCGGCCCCUUCCCCAGAAGAGAGCAGGGUCCUCUGAAACAACAGCAACCCUCAGGGCCGACAAAACAGCCUCACGGCCAGCUAUUCUGAAGGCAACUUCUGGAAAGCAAACCGACCCAGUGGAGGGGUCACCUUAGCAGCAGGGAAACAGAGAGAACCGGGGGAGACUGUGGCUCCCUGGUCCGACCCUUCCAUUCCAGUUCCAGUGAGGCAUACUCAAUUUAACCCAGGGAAAGCUCAUAGAACAGACAAUCUGCCCAGGACUAAAGCCUCUGAACACCAAACAGAGAUAAGAAAAGCUAAUCCUCCCCAUUCAGAGAUGGCAAACUCCACAGAAGCACAGAAGCCCCAAAAUCCCAAGAAAAAUAAGAAGAAAGGGGCGACUUUGGACACAUUCUAUGGAACCAAAAUACAAAAUACAGAGGAGAUAGAAGACGAUGCACAAGAAAAUGCUCCGAAACCUUCCUAAGGAAAUGGAAACUCUCCACAAACACAUGAAGAAUUUGAAUCAGAAAUGACCAAAAAGAUGGAAGCCUUCUGGGAGGAAAAGUGGGAAAUAAUGCAAAAGAAAUUCACGCAUCUACAAAACCAGUGUGACCAAACUGAAAAGGAAAACCAGGCUUUAAAGGCCAGAAUCAGGCAGCUGGAAGACAACGAUCGUGUAAAAGAGCAAGAAUUAAUAAAGCAAAGCCAAAAUACCAAGAAAUUAGAAGAGAACAUAAAAUAUCUCACCAACAAGGUGACAGAUCUGGAAAAUAGAGGGAGAAGAGAUAAUUUAAGAAUAAUUGGACUUCCAGAAAAGCCAGAAAUAAACACCAAACUCGACAUCGUGAUACAAGAUAUAAUCAAAGAAAAUUGCCCAGAGAUUCUAGAACAAGGGGGUAAUACAGCCACUGACAGAGCUCACAGAACACCUUCUACACUAAACCCCCAAAAGACAACUCCCAGGAAUGUAAUUGCCAAAUUCCAAAGCUCUCAAACAAAAGAAAAAAUUCUACAGGAAGCCAGAAAAAGACAAUUUAGAUAUAAAGGAAUGCCAAUCAGGGUCACACAAGACCUUGCAAGUUCUACUCUGAAUGAUCGUAAGGCAUGGAACAUGAUCUUCAGAAAGGCAAGAGAGCUGGGUCUUCAACCAAGAAUCAGCUACCCAGCAAAACUGACUAUAUACUUCCAAGGGAAAGUAUGGGCAUUCAACAAAAUAGAAGAUUUCCAACUUUUUGCAAAGAAAAGACCAGAGCUCUGUGGAAAGUUCGAUAUCGAAAAACAAAGAGCAUGGAAUACCUGAAAAGGUGCUUUGCAAGAUGAAGAAUAAGAAACAGUUCAUUCUGCCCUUGAUAAGAGCUGAACAUUGGUGCUGGGAGAUGAAAACCAAGCCCUUCAUUUCUGAAGGAAAGGUAAUACACAAAGACAAUGAAGACCUCCUUAGGCUCAGGCUCAGAGAAGAUGACAAGCUCUCUCCUCCCUCAAUCCCAACUCCAUCACACCAAGUGCCCUUAGAUGGACCUUUAAUUGACCAGGGCAGCUGAUCCCAGAAUUUUCUUCUUAUAUUACAAAGUUAUUCCUCCUUCUGAACUCUAAACCUUUAUAUUCUGCCCUCUCAUCUGCCAGUCAUGUGGAUCAUGAAGAGAUGAAGAAUGGCCUGAUGAAUGAAUUCAUCAUAAGAUGUUAAUAGCAUUUCUCUCCUGGGGAAAUCUGUUUUUCCAAAGUCAGUAUCCUAAGACAUAAAUCUAAAAUGAAGGCGUUUUGGGCACCAUGGGAGAAUCUUAAAGGAGUUUUCCCCCAGACCUAUCGAUUUCUAUCAUAUAGGCAACUACCUACUUCAGCUAGGCAGAACGCCUAUUCCCCUUCUUCACAAAGAUAAGGAAUCAGAGAGAAAACAGGGCAUGUAGGCAAUAUGGAAAAGGAAGAAGGGAGGUAUUUGGGGGUAGCCUUCUUGGACAUUAUCUCUGAUCCUGGGGUUAUUUUCUGUUUCGGAUAUAAAAGGAGAUAUAGAAAACAAUUCUAGUGGCAAUAGUCAGUGUUUGGGAAGAGUUGGCAAUCUUCCAUGAUGUCAGGCUGUUGGGCACAGCUUCCACAGAUGAACUGUAUGCAAACAUGCCCAUAUUCACAAGUACUCAAGGGAACUACCCUACCCCUGUCUUGAUCUUAGAAAAAUGCAAGCCACCCUACAGAUCACUAUAUAAAUGACCCCAAGCUACUGAAGGCAACUAGCCUAAAAUGAUCCAUGCCUGAUUCAGAGAAUCUUUACAUUAAAGAGAAAAACAUUUGAGAUGAGGACAUGUACCAUUUCCCCCAGCAAAAGUCAUUUGCUGGCUGAGUAGUGAAUCAAGGUCAAAUGUGGCUGCUGGGAAUCCAGUGCCUAUAAAUAGAAUUUGCCUUCUAACAGACAGCAGUCAUAAGAAAUAGAUUGCCAUAAGAAUAACGACUGGCUUAAUUUAUAUGUUUUCUGUAACCACAUGGUAAACAUGCUUUUGCUAGGGCUAUUUUGUUGGCUAUGUAUUUUUGUACAUACUAGAUGAGUACUAAAUUCUUCUAGCCCUACAUGACUAUAUAAAGGGUAGUUAUGGUGCUGUUGUAUCACUGUAGUUGUGUCCCACUCUCCAUGACCCCAUUUGGGUUUUCUUUGGCAAAGAAACUGGAGUGGUUUGCCAUUUCCUCAUCCAACUCAUUUAAUAGACUGAAGAACUGUGAUAAGCAAGUUAAAUGACUUUCCCAGGUCACACAGCUAGUAAGUGUCUAAGGCUAGAUUUGAACUCAGGAAGAUAAUUCCAAGUCCAGUGCUCUAUCUACUGUGCCACCUAGUUGCUCAAGAGUUAUACUAUAGUUAUUGCUAUUAUUUAA